rnacentral:rRNA from 1 species
AUGCUUAACACAUGCAAGUCGAACGGUAACAGAUAAGAUGAUCUCUUCGGAGUGAAUCUUUGCUGACGAGUGGCGGACGGGUGAGUAAUGCUUGGGAAUCUGCCCAAUAGUGGGGGAAAACUCGGGGAAACCCGGGCUAAUACCGCAUAAUCUCUACGGAGGAAAGAGGGCCUCUACAUGUAAGCUCUCGCUAAUGGAUGAGCCCAAGUCAGAUUAGCUUGUUGGUAAGGUAAUGGCUUACCAAGGCUACGAUCUGUAGCUGGUCUGAGAGGAUGAUCAGCCACACUGGGACUGAGACACGGCCCAGACUCCUACGGGAGGCAGCAGUGGGGAAUAUUGCACAAUGGGCGCAAGCCUGAUGCAGCAAUGCCGCGUGUGUGAAGAAGGCUCUAGGGUUGUAAAGCACUUUCAAUAGAGAAGAAAAGCUUGAGGUUAAUACCUUCAAGCCUUGACGUAACCUAUACAAGAAGCACCGGCUAAUUCCGUGCCAGCAGCCGCGGUAAUACGGAAGGUGCGAGCGUUAAUCGGAAUUACUGGGCGUAAAGCGAGCGUAGGCUGUUAAUUAAGUCGAAUGUGAAAUCCCCGGGCUCAACCUGGGAACUGCAUUCGAAACUAUUUGACUAGAGUAUGGGAGAGGAAAGUAGAACUUCCGGUGUAGCGGUGAAAUGCGUAGAUAUCUGAAGGAACACCAGUGG